GCCCGCCUAGCUCAAUCGGAUAGAGCGUCAGACUUUUAAGGCGGGUCAUUUGUUCGAUUCCACUUGAAUUUACCAUCUGAAGGCUGCGAGUUCGACCCUCGCGGUGGGCU